GACGAACGCUGGCGGCGUGCUUAACACAUGCAAGUCGAACGAUGAAGCUGGAGCUUGCUCCGGUGGAUUAGUGGCGAACGGGUGAGUAACACGUGAGAAAUCUGCCCUUGACUCUGGGAUAACUGCGGGAAACUGUAGCUAAUACCGGAUAUUUUCCUUGGUGGGCAUCCACUGGGGAAGAAAGAAUUUCGGUCAAGGAUGAUCUCGCGGCCUAUCAACUAGUUGGUGAGGUAAUGGCUCACCAAGGGGACGACGGGUAGCCGGCCUGAGAGGGUGACCGGCCACACUGGGACUGAGACACGGCCCAGACUCCUACGGGAGGCAGCAGUGGGGAAUAUUGCACAGUGGGCGCAAGCCUGAUGCAGCAACGCCGCGUGAGGGAUGAAGGCCUUCGGGUUGUAAACCUCUUUUAGCAGGGAAGAAGCGAAAGUGACGGUACCUGCAGAAAAAGCACCGGCUAACUACGUGCCAGCCGCCGCAGUAA
rnacentral:rRNA from 1 species